rnacentral:rRNA from 1 species
UACAGAGGUCUCAAGCGUUGUUCGGAUUCAUUGGGCGUAAAGGGUGUGUAGGUGGCGCCGUUAGUCGGGUGUGAAAUUUCGGAGCUUAACUCCGAAACUGCAUUCGAUACUGCGGUGCUUGAGGACUGGAGAGGAGACUGGAAUUCAUGGUGUAGCAGUGAAAUGCGUAGAGAUCAUGAGGAAGACCAGUGGCGAAGGCGGGUCUCUGGACAGUUCCUGACACUGAGACACGAA